AUGGCCAGCCUCCGGAUCGACGAGCGCAGCGGCACCGGCAAGUUCCCGGCCGCCGUGUGGCGUAGCGACAAGCCCAGGACCUUUCCCGCUUGGUCCACGGGCGCAGUCGCCUGGGAGCUCACCGUCCCGGUUGCGUUCCGGCGCCAUGAGUCGCGCUACGUCGACACUGAUGCUGACUGCCUCAACAUACACUGCACAGUCGAGGUCCUCCUCCAGCAGCAGGAGAACAACUCCGCCACCAGCACCAGGAACUGCUUCGUCUCCGUUCCUCCGCCCCCCAGCAUCUCUCAAGACUUGCACAGGCUUCUCAGGGAGAGGCAGUCGCCGGAGCCAGACGUGACAUUCGUCCUCGAGGAUGGUACCGAGAUCGAGGCGCACAAGCUGGUAAUGGCCAUGCGGUCGCCGGUAUUCCGCGCCCAGUUCUUAUGCGGGGACAUGAAGGAGCGGAGCACGCGCUGCUUCAUAAUGGACGGCAUGAGCGCCUCCACCUUGAGGGCGAUGCUCUACUUCAUCUACACCGACGAGCAGCCUACACCCAGGAGAGGAAGAUGCCGUGUGGCUAUGGCGCAGGACCUGCUCGUGGCCGCGGAUCUCUAUGACCUAGAGAGGCUGAGGAUCAUGUGCGAGAAGAUACUCUCCGAGGGCAUGGACGUCGGUAAUGUCAUGACGACGUUGGCGCAGGUGGACGGCCGGCAGAGCUGCCAGCAGCUUGAGGCAUCGUGCAUCGAGUUCAUGGCGUCCGACCCCGACGUGUACGAUGCUGUGGAGGCCACCGAGGAGUACAAAGAACUCGAAAAGACAUGCCCAUCUUUCAUACACGAGAUCACCAAGAAAGUAGCCAAGAGCACAAUGGCCCGCAUUACAUCUCCAACUAAUUCUUCUUCCAUGGGCACUAGUGGUGGCAGCGGCAGUAGAGAGGCAACCAAGAGCGCGUCGAGGUAUACCCCACCGGCGGUGAUGAUCGGCACACACGAGUUCACAAUCCAAAGCUUGAGCUGGGUGAGGGAGACGCACAGUGUCGGUCAGUACAUCCGAUCUGGCAGUUUCAAGGUGGCCGGUUAUGAGUGGACCAUAGAUGUGUACCCGUCGGGACAGACAGAGGACACGUCGGAGCACAUUGACGUAUUUAUUCGACCCACCAUUAAUGAUGAUGAUAUCAAGGUGAAAGAUUCGGUGGCUAUGAAGCCCGUCCACCCCACGGACAAGUCGCCGCCGUUUCCUCCCCGUAAUCUUACACACACAUUUGCCGGCAAGGCAUGCAGGGGCCAUGGGUGGCCAAAAUUCAUCACAUUCGCAUUUGCAAACUCACGCUGUAUGGGACACGAUGGCUCUUUCACUAUACAAUGCCAAGUCGCGGUUGCCACGAACUCCUCCACUGGCAGCACAAUUGGCACCUUCAUCCCUGGACCCGUGCUCGUGCCACCGUCCAACCUGGUAUGGCAUCUCGAGCGGCGAGGGCUGGGAUGUUAA
rnacentral:rRNA from 1 species